rnacentral:rRNA from 1 species
UACGGGGGGAGCAAGCGUUGUUCGGAUUUACUGGGCGUAAAGGGCGCGUAGGCGGUCAGCACAAGUCAGUUGUGAAAUCUCCGGGCUUAACUCGGAAAGGUCAACUGAUACUGUGCGACUAGAGUGCAGAAGGGGCAACUGGAAUUCUCGGUGUAGCGGUGAAAUGCGUAGAUAUCGAGAGGAACACCGGUGGCGAAGGCGGUUCUCUGGGCCUUACCUGACGCUGAGGAGCGAAAGCGUGGGGAGCGAACAGG